rnacentral:lncRNA from 1 species
CCAGGCCCAUAAUUCCUUACUUACAUUACCCACCAUAACCCAUCUCAUUCUCAUUAACCCGAACACCAACAUCCAUAAGCUAUGAGUAACUGGGCAAAAUAGUAAGAUGUGGUCACAUGUCUCCUAUCAACCUUGCAUAAGAAACAUCAAUUAGCAAAGGAUGUCGCCCCGCCUCCUUAACAUGUCAAUGAUCAAAAUACUUCCUCUUGAGCUUCCCAAGC